rnacentral:lncRNA from 1 species
AACGCUAGAGGAGACCGUGCAUAGCCUUGUGCUCUCCCUGCUCAGCGCUGCGGCAUCUCCUGCUGGGAAGUGUUCAUGACCCACCUGGAGUUUCUGUUCACCGAUAGCGGCUUGUCCACUGCUGACAUCGGGGAGCGGGCCCAGGCCUUGCACCUCCUUGAGACCCUGAGGACGGAUCCAGAAGCCUUCCAUAGGCACAUGGCCAAGUACAUCUACCCUUCCAUUGGUGGCCGUGACCACGAGAGGCUGCUGUAUUAUUUCACUCUGCUAGACAGCUGUGGCUGCACGGACCAGGGGGACUCAGCCCUGAAGCCCGAGACCCACGUGCGCCUGCUAAAGAAGCUAAAAGUUGUUGCGGCAGGUCUUGACUAUAAAAAGCUGACAGAUGGAAGCACAAGCCCUCUUGAAGCCUUGGAGCCAGUUCUUUCAAGUCAGAAUAUCUUAGCUAUUUCCAAACUUGCUCCCAGCAUCCCCGAGAAGGAUGGAGGGACGCUGUCCCCAAGCUCGCUCUACACUGUCUGGCUGCAGAAACUAUUCUGGAUGGGGGACCCUCACCUGGUGCAGCAGGUCCCCGAGUCCUCCCUGGAGUGGCUGCAUGCCUACGAUGUCUGCGCAAGGUACUUUGACCGCCUGCAUCGGCGGGACCUCAUCACCGUGCUGGAUGCAAUCACAUUUUCUCCACAAGCCGUGGCCAAGCUGCCUAUGGACGUGCGAGAAGAGAUGACAAGGAGGGCCAUCGCCACAAUCACACGCCUUAUGGAGAAGCCACGGAAAAGGAAUGCAGAGGACAACACUCGGGAGGCCGGUGCCCCUGGGGUCACCUACACUGAGGUGCUGGAUCACCUGCAGAAGUCGCUUGCCCACCUGGGGACGCUGGGCCACAGCUUCAUCCUUGAGCUGCAGAAGAGUGAGCAGGUGGCCCUGCAGAGGUACCGUGAGCUGUAUGACCUGUCCCGCUCAGAAGAGGAGGCGCUCUGCAGUCUGGCCGUGAGCAUGUGUUUGGAUGGCCAGCCGCUGGCCAUGAUUCAGCAGCUGCUUGAGGUGGCAGUUGGGCCUCGGGACACAACCCUCAAGGAUGUUGUGCGAAGUGCCAUUGUGAAAAUAAUGUCUACGCUGAGUGGAGGUGGUGCCGACCUUGGUGGGACUGGAGACCCGCUUCAGGUCCUGGAAGGCGUGGUGGCAGCUGUGCAUGCCAGCGUGGAUGCCGGGGAGCAGCUGGUGGCCCCCGAGGACCUGCUGGAGUGGCUGCGGCCCUUCUGUGCAGAUGACACCCUGCCCGUGCAGCCUCGCGUCCGUGUGCUGCAGGUCUUGGAGCAGUCCUGCCACCUGACAGAGGAGGACAGCAGGCUCCUGGUGUUCUUCCGAACAGAGGCCAUCCUCAAGGCUGCCUGGCCUGGGAGGCAGGUGGACGUGGCUGACGUGGCGAGUGCAGAGCGGCGCUCUGCCCUGUUUGAAGAGCUGCUGGAGUGCAGCUGCUGCCAGGCCGAGUUCCAGCACCUGGCUGUGCUCUUGCAGGCCUGGCCCCCUCUGCAGAGUGACUGCACGGCUGGUGUGAUGGGAAACCCGUGGCUGAGACUGGCAACAGCGAUGCUGAUGCGGUGCCCGGCGCAGAGCAAGGAGGAUGUAGGGAACGAGGUGCUGAGAAUUUGUCGCUCUCUGCGCCUCUCUGAGCAGGCGCUGCCCGUGGAGGGUGUGAAGGAGCUGUGCCUGCUGCUGCGUGACCAGGCACUGCCACUGCUGUCCCUGAAGCUGCUGCUGGAGCAGCCGGAGCCUGAGCUGCACGCCCUGGCACAGGAGCAGGUCACCGCCAUCAUGCAGGUGGAUGAUGCCAAUUGCGACCCUGAGCUGCUGUCCUUGCUGCUGGAUGCCGGGCUGCUGGUGCCCUGUGUCCCCACCCCCUUCUACCCACGCCUCGUCCGCCACUUGCUGGCUGUACAGGGCCGCUGGGACAUGGAACAGCUGGCUGCACAACUCCAGGCGGCCGGCCAUGAGGCUGAGGCUGGGUCGCUGCUGCUGGCUGCACGGGACACUCACCGGGCCUUGCGGACUUUCCAUGCUGCCCUGGGUGCCGGGCAGCCGAGGGUGUGA